rnacentral:rRNA from 1 species
GAUGAACGCUGGCGGCGUGCCUAAUACAUGCAAGUCGAGCGGACCAAAGAGAGCUUGCUCUCUGAGGUUAGCGGCGGACGGGUGAGUAACACGUGGGUAACCUGCCUGUAAGACGGGGAUAACUUCGGGAAACCGAAGCUAAUACCGGAUGAUAAAGAGAAACGCCAGUUUCUUUUUUGAAAGUCGGCGUUGUGCUGACGCUUACAGAUGGGCCCGCGGCGGAUUAGCUAGGUGGUGAGGUAACGGCUCACCAAGGCGACGAUGCGUAGCCGACCUGAGAGGGUGAUCGGCCACACUGGGACGGAGACACGGCCAAGACUCCUACGGGAGGCAGCAGUAGGGAAUCUUCGGCAAUGGACGAAAGUCUGACCGAGCAACGCCGCGUGAGCGAUGAAGGCCUUCGGGUCGUAAAGCUCUGUUGUCAGAGAAGAACAAGUACCGGAGUAACUGCCGGUACCUUGACGGUACCUGACCAGAAAGCCACGGCUAACUACGUGCCAGCCGCCGCAGUAA